UGAGGAAUAUUGGUCAAUGGCCGCAGGGCUGAACCAGCCAAGUCGCGUGAGGGAGUGAGGCCCUACGGGUCGUAAACCUCUUUUGCCGGGGAGCAACGGCGCCCACGUGUGGGCGAAUGAGAGUACCCGGAGAAAAAGCAUCGGCUAACUCCGUGCCAGCAGUCGCGGUAAUCACAUACU
rnacentral:rRNA from 1 species